CAAAACUGUGAGCUUUUCAUUCCUCCCAUGUUCAGUCUUUCCCCAAGCAAGACUGAAACCCUGCAGCCCUUCUUGGGUCACCAACAGGCUUACAGCCCACCUCCAGUCAUGGUCACUGAGAUGCCAGAGAAGCCACAGCCACAAGGCAGAAAGAAUUGAUCUGUUGUCUCAUGCUUCAGAUAUGAACUCCCUCUUGGAGAAAGUCAAGUUUUACUUUGAACCUUUUCUCUCAACCUCAUUGCUCAAGUUUGCUUUGAAAAGUCCUUGCAACUUCCUCUUGGUCCCUGCAAACCACAGAAUUACAGGCUGCUAGCACUAGAAUAGGCUUUCAGGGGCAUCUGGCUCAUCACACCCUCUUUGGAGGAGUGUGAGAAACAGUGGGGUUAGUGUGAGGAGUCAGAAGACGUGGGCCCCUCACAAACCACUGAUGACGUCAAAAGAGUUCAUCCACCUCUCCCAGACUGUUUCCAAGGGAGAAAGCAGGUGACUGUGACCUACUCACAGGGCCAGCUGAGAGUUAAAUGAGAUAAGGUGAACAAAUGUGCUCUGGAAUGAAAGCACCCUAUGAAUGCUGAGAUUUUGACGGUCCUCAGCAUCACAGAAAACUAGAGGCCAGUGUCAGAGCAGAAGCACUGGAAGUAGAAAGAGGGGAAUGGGUGACAUUUUUUGGCCACUCAAGAGCUAGAAUUAAUUUAAGGAAAGAAAUGAUGUUUUGGACCAUCAUCAUCCAGGCAAGAAAGGACAAUAGAUAGUAACUUGAUCUAAUAUUAUGAUCAUGAUUUUCAAAAGUAAACAAAUGCAGAGUUCCCUUUGUGGCUCAGUGGGUUAAGAACCUGACAUUGUCUCCAUGAGCAUGCGGGUUUGAUCCUUGUCCUCAUUCAUUGGGUUAAGGACCUCACGUUGCUGCAAGCUGUGGCACAGGUCUCAGAUGUGACUCAGACCCAGGGUUGUUGUGACUGUGGCACAGGCCUCAGCUGCAGCUCCAAUUCAACCCUGGGAACUUCCAUAUCCCUCAGGUGCAUCCAUAAAAGGGAAAAAAAAGUGGACAAAUGUAAAAAUAUUUAUGAAGCAAAAUUAUCAGGCAGCGUCCAUCAGCAGAUGAAUGGAUAAAGAAAAUGUGAGGUAUAUACAUAUGCAAUGGAAUACUAUUCAACCAUAAAAAGAAGGAAAUUCUAAUAUUACUCAGCCAUAAAAAAGAACAAAAAAAUGCCAUUUGCAGCAACAUGGAUGGAACUAGAGACUCUCAUACUAAGUGAAGUAAGUCAGAAAGAGAAAGACAAAUACCAUAUGAUUUCACUUAUAUCUGGAAUCUAAUAUAUGGCACAAAUGAAACUUUCCACAGAAAAUAAAAUCAUGGACAUGGAGAACAGACUUGUGGCUGCCAAGGCAGAGGGGGAGGGAGUAGGAGGAACUGGGAAUUUGGGGUUAAUAGAUGCAAACUACAGCCUUUGGAAUGGAUAAGCAAUGGGAUCCUGCUGUAUAGUACUGGGAUCUAUGUCUGGUCACUUGCGAUGGAGCAUGAUAAUGUGACAAAAAAGAAUUUAUACAUGUAUGUGUGACUGGGUCACCUUGCCAUGCAGCAGAAAAUUGAGAGAACACUAUAAAUUAGCUAUAAUGGAAAAAAUAAAAAUCAUUAUAAAAAAAAGGAAUUUCUGCCAUUUGUGACAACAUGGAUAGACCUGCUAAAUUAUGCUAAAUGAAUAACUCAGGCAGAGAAAGACAAAUACUGUAUGAUCUCAUAUAUUUGUAGAAUCUAAAAAAAAAAAACACCUAAACUCAUAAAAAAGAGAGAUCAGAUUUGUGGUUACCAGAAGGAGGGUAAGGUGCAGGGGAAUGGGAUGAUGGUAAUCAAAAGGUACAAAUUUCCAGUUAAAAGUAAAUAAGUUGAGGGAUAUAAUGUAUAAGUGAGUAAUAUAAUUAACAGUGCUGUAUGUUAUAUAUGAAAAUUGAUUAGAGAGUAAAUCUUAAGAGUCCUCAUCACACAAAUGCUUUUGUAAUUAUAUGAGAUGGAUGUUAACUAAGCUUACUAACAGUUUGAUGUUAACUAAUUGUUUUGAAAUAUAUGUAUGUCAUUAUGCUGUAUUCUGUAAACAUAUAUAGCAAGUUGUUAUGCUGUAUGUCAGUGAUAUCUCAAUAAAAAUGAAAAAAAAAUCAUCAGGGCCAAGUGAUGGCUUGGAGAUGGGAAGAGGGAGGGAGGGGGCAUGUUCAGGGUGACAUUUCUGGCUUAUUUAACUAGAGAUAAGAAACACCAGAAAAGAUUCAAGUGGGUGAGAACACAGAAGAGGGAUUACAAGUUUGCUUUUGACUGUUUUGAGUUUGAGGUGCCUUUGGGACACCCAAGCAAAUAUAUCAUAUAGGCAGGCUAUUGAAACUGAGAGAUUAUGUGUAGCUCAAGAUGUAAAAUGUUAAGUAUAUCAGACAUGGGAUUAAGAUGGCAGAAUAGAAGGACUAGAGCUCACCUUCUUUCAUAAAAACAACAAAAUUACAACCAAAUGCUGAACAACCUUCAACCAAAUUGACUGGAAACUUUCUGAAAGAUAUCCUAUUCCAGAAAACAAAGAGGAGGCGAUAUCAAGAAGUAGUAGGGGUGAUUACACUAUAUAAGCAACACCAUACCUGCCAGGGUGGCCCAGAGACUGGAAAAUAACUGUAUCACAGAAACUCACCUACAGGAGUGAAAGUUCUGAGCCCCAUGUCAGGUCCCCAUGCCUGGGGAUCUGCAAUUGGGAGAAAGAGCCCCCAGAGCAUCUGGCAUUGAAGGCCAGUGGGGCUUGUGUGCAGAAGCUCCACAGGACUGGGGGAAAUGGAGAUCCCACUCUUGAAAGGCACACACAAGAUUUCAUGGGCACUGGCUCCCAAGGCAAAGCAGAGGUUCCAUAGGAAUCUGGGUCAAACUUGACUGAAGUUCUUGGAGGAUCUCCUGAGAAUACAAGGGGUGACUGUGGCUCAUUGUGGGGGAGGACAUUGGAGGCCAAGCUCUCAGUAAUAUUCACCUGUGUGUGUUCCUCUAGAGGUGGCCAUUUUGGGAAAAUCUGGCCCCACCCAUCAGUUUUGAGAAGCCCCAGGCCAAACAAUAAUCCAGGUGGGAUCACAGCCCUACCCAUCAGUAAACAGGCUACCUAAAGACCCCCAGCCCCCAGGCACAUACCCACAUCUAAUCUCACCUAUAGAAAAAGUCCUGCCCACCAGAGGGACAGGAAUCAGCCCCACCUACCAGAGGGCAGUCCCUCCCAUCAGGAAGCCUACAGCAAGCCCCUGUACCAACUUCAGCCACAAGAGGGGCAGACAUCAGAAGUAAGAGAGGCUACAACUCUACUGUCUGCAAAAAAGACUAUACCAAAAAUCUAUAAAAAUGAAAAGGCAGAAAACCAUAACUCAGAUAAGGGAGCAAGAAAAAAAAACAGAAAAACAGCUACAUGAUCUAUAGAUUACCAGCCUUCAGGAAAAAAGACUUUAGAUUGAUGAUGCUAAAGAUGAUGCAAGACAUUGGAAAUAAACUGGAGGCAAAGAUUGGUAAUUUACAGCAAUCACUGAGCAAAGAAAUACAAGAUUUAAAACUUAAGCAAGCAGAGAUGCAAAAUACAACAACUGAAAUAAAAAAAAUUCAUUAGAAGCAACCAACAGCAGAAUACAGGAGGCAGGAGAAUGAGUAAGUGAGGUGGAGGACAGCCUAGUGGAAAUCACUGACAUGGAACAGAAAAGAGAAAAAAGAUUGAAAAGAAAUGAAGACAGUCUAAGAAAACUCUGGGACAACAUUAAAUACACCAAUAUCCAGAAGGAGAAGAGAGAGAGAAAGGGACAGAAAAAAAUAUUUGAAGAGAUAAGAGAAAACUUCCCUAACAUUGAAAAGGAACCACUCACUCGAAUCUAGGAAGCACAAUGAGUACCAUAUAAAAUAAACUCAAGGAGGAACACCCUGAGACACAUAUUAAUCAAACUGACCAAAAUUAAAGACAAAGAGCAAUACUGAAAGCAGCUAGGGAAAAUAAAUAAAUAACAUACAAGGGAACCCAGAUAAGGUUAUUGGCACAUUUUUAAGCAGAAACUCUGCAGGCCAGAAGGGAGUGGCACCAUAUACUUAAGCUGAUAAAAGGAAAGAACCUCUGACCAAGAUUACUUUAUCCAGCAAGGCUCUCAUCCAUAUUUCAAGGAAAAAUCAAAAGUUUUACAGAUAAGCAAAAGCUAAGAGAAUUCAGAAACACUAGACCAACUUCACAACAAAUAUUAAAGUAACUUCUCUAGGCAGAAAAGAAAAGGCCACAAGAAGAAACAAAAAUAACACAAAUGACAAGACUUACCAGUAAAGGCAUAUAUCUAGUAAAGGUAGGAAAUCAUCCACGCACAAAUAUGCUAACAAAAUCAGAAAUAAUGAGAAAAGGAGGGUACAAAUGCAGGACACUGGAGAUGCACUUGCAAUUAAGAGACCAAAAACUUAUAACAAUCUCGUGUAUAUAUAUAUAGACUCCUAUAUCAAAACUUCAGGGUAACUUCAAACCUACAGUUUGCAAAUCUACAAUUGAUAUACACACACAUAAGAAAAAUCAACUGAAAUGCAACACUAAAGAUAGUCAACACACCACAAGAGGAGAGAACAAGAGAAGAAGGGAAGAAAAAGGAGCAUCAAAAACAAAUCCAAAAUAGUUAAUAAAAUGUCAAUAAGAACAUACAUAUCAAUAAUUUCCAUAAAUGUAUAUGGACAAAAUGCCCCAACCAAAAGACAUGGAUUGGCUGAAUGGAUACAAAAACAAGAUCCCUAUAUAUGCUGUCUUCAAGGGAUCCACUUCAUUUCUAGGGACACAUACAAAUGAAAGUGAGAGGAUGGAAGAAAAUAUUCCAUGCCAUUAGGCAUCCAAAGAAAGCUGGAGUAGUAAUACUUAUAUCAGACAAAAUAGACCUUAAAAUAAAGAAUAUUUGUAUGUUUGGUAGAAUUCUCCUGUGAAGCCAUCUGGUCCUGGACUUUUAUUUGUAGGGAGUGUUUUUAUGACAUAUUCAAUUUCAUUUCUAGUGAUCAGUCUGUUCAGUUGAUCUAUUUCUCCUUGAUUCAGUUUUAGCAGGCUGUAGGUCUCUAGAAAGAUGUCCAUUUCUUACCAAGGAGUUAAAGGACUUAUAUGCUGAGAACUAUAAAACAUUAAUCAAGAAAAUUAAAGAAGAUAUAAAGAAAUGGAAAGAUAUUCCAUGCUACUGGGUUGGAAAAAUUAACAUUGUAAAAAUAGCCAUACUACCCAGAGCAAGCUACAGAUUCAAAGCAAUCCCUAUCAAAUUACCCAUGACAAGUUUCACAAAACUAGAAAAAACAAUCCAAAAUUAAUAUGGACCCACAAAAGACUCAGAAUUGCCAAAGAAAUUCUGAGGAACAAAAACCAAGCAGGAGGUAUAACUGUCCCAGACUUCAGGCAAUAUUACAAAGCCACAGUCAUAAAGACAGUGUAGUACUGGUACCAAAACAGACAGACCAAAGGAACAGAAUAGAGAACCCAUAAAUAAACCCAGACACCUAAGGUCAAUUAAUCUUUGACAAAGAAGGAAAGAACAUAAAAUGGGAAAAAGACAGUCUUUUCAGCAGGUAUUGCUGGGAACCUGGACAG
rnacentral:lncRNA from 1 species